rnacentral:rRNA from 1 species
AUGGAUGAGGUCACAAGGGAUAUACAAGGAGAUAUCCCAUGGUGUAUGCUCUUUGCGGAUGAUGUGGUGCUAGUUGACGAUAGUCGGACGGGGGUAAAUAGGAAGUUAGAGUUAUGGAGACAAACCUUGGAAUCGAAAGGGUUUAGGCUUAGUAGAACUAAAACCGAGUACAUGAUGUGCGGUUUCAGUACUACUAGGUGUGAGGAGGAGGAGGUUAGCCUUGAUGGCCAGGUGGUACCUCGGAAGGAAACCUUUCGGUAUUUGGGGUCAAUGUUGCAGGAGGAUGGGGGUAUUGAUGAAGAUGUGAACCAUCAAAUCAAAACCGGAUGGAUGAAGUGGCGCCAAGCUUCUGGCAUUCUCUGUGACAAGAGAAUGCCACAAAAGUUAAAAGGCAAGUUCUACAGGACGGCGGUUCGACCCGCAAUGUUGUAUGGCGCGGAGUGUUGGCCGACUAAAAGGCGACAUCUCAACAGUUAG